rnacentral:rRNA from 1 species
ACUCCUACGGGAGGCAGCAGUGGGGAAUAUUGCACAAUGGGCGCAAGCCUGAUGCAGCCAUGCCGCGUGUGUGAAGAAGGCCUUCGGGUUGUAAAGCACUUUCAGUUGUGAGGAAGGUGGUGUCGUUAAUAGCGGCAUCAUUUGACGUUAGCAACAGAAGAAGCACCGGCUAACUCCGUGCCAGCAGCCGCGGUAAUACGGAGGGUGCGAGCGUUAAAUCGGAAUUACUGGGCGUAAAAGCGCAUGCAGGUGGUUUGUUAAGUCAGAUGUGAAAGCCCGGGGCUCAACCUCGGAACUGCAUUUGAAACUGGCAGACUAGAGUACUGUAGAGGGGGGUAGAAUUUCAGGUGUAGCGGUGAAAAUGCGUAGAGAUCUG